AGCAGCCGCGGUAAUUCCAGCUCCAAUAGCGUAUAUUAAAGUUGUUGCAGUUAAAAAGCUCGUAGUUGAAUUUCGGGGUCAGUAGGUUGGUCGUGCCACUGGUAUGUACUGGCUUCACUGAUUCCUCCUUCCUGAUGAGCCGUAAUGCCAUUAAUUUGGUGUUGCGAGGAAUCUGGACUGUUACUUUGAAAAAAUUAGAGUGUUUAAAGCAAGCUAACGCUUGAAUACAUUAGCAUGGAAUAAUGAAAUAGGACGUUCGAUCCUAUUUUGUUGGUUUCUAGGAUUGACGUAAUGAUUAAUAGGGAUAGUUGGGGGCAUUAGUAUUCAAUUGUCAGAGGUGAAAUUCUUGGAUUUAUUGAAGACUAACUACUGCGAAAGCAUUUGCCAAGGAUGUUUUCAUUAAUCAAGAACGAAAGUUAGGGGAUCGAAGACGAUCAGAUACCGUCGUAGUCUUAACCAUAAACUAUGCCGACUAGGGAUCGGAUGAUGUUAAUUUUUAAUGACUCAUUC
rnacentral:rRNA from 1 species